rnacentral:tRNA from 1 species
GCGCCCGUAGCUCAGGGGAUAGAGUAUCGGCCUCCGAAGCCGAGGGCCACUGGUUCGAUUCCAGUCGGGCGCACCA